rnacentral:rRNA from 1 species
UAAGACGAAGGGGGCUAGCGUUGUUCGGAAUUACUGGGCGUAAAGCGAGUGUAGGUGGUUGUCGUAGUCAGGCGUGAAAGCCUUGAGCUCAACUCAAGAAAUGCGCUUGAUACUGGGCAGCUAGAGGACCGGAGAGGAUAGUGGAAUUCCCAGUGUAGUGGUGAAAUACGUAGAGAUUGGGAAGAACACCAGUGGCGAAGGCGGCUAUCUGGACGGUUUCUGACACUAAGACUCGAAAGCGUGGGGAGCAAACAGGAUUAGAUACCCUGGUAGUCCACGCCGUAAACGAUGGGUGCUAGACGUUGGCGAGCUUGCUCGUCAGUGUCGCAGCUAACGCGUUAAGCACCCCGCCUGGGGAGUACGGCCGCAAGGUUG